rnacentral:rRNA from 1 species
UUACUCUGAGUGAUUUCCGUUAAGGAGAUCUUUUGGCACCUCUAAAAAUGGUGCAGAAUAAGGGGUGGGCAAGUCUGGUGUCAGCCGCCGCGGUAAUACCAGCACCCCGAGUGGUCGGGACGUUUAUUGGGCCUAAAGCAUCCGUAGCCGGUUCUACAAGUCUUCCGUUAAAUCCACCUGCUUAACAGAUGGGCUGCGGAAGAUACUAUAGAGCUAGGAGGCGGGAGAGGCAAGCGGUACUCGAUGGGUAGGGGUAAAAUCCGUUGAUCCAUUGAAGACCACCAGUGGCGAAGGCGGCUUGCCAGAACGCGCUCGACGGUGAGGGAUGAAAGCUGGGGGAGCAAACCGGAUUAGAUACCCGGGUAGUCCCAGCUGUAAACGAUGCAGACUCGGUGAUGAGUUGGCUUAUUGCUAACUCAGUGCCGCAGGGAAGCCGUUAAGUUUGCCGCCUGGGGAGUACGGUCGCAAGACUGAAACUUAAAGGAAUUGGCGGGGGAGCACCACAAGGGGUGAAGCCUGCGGUUCAAUUGGAGUCAACGCCGGAAAUCUUACCGGGGGCGACAGCAGAGUGAAGGUCAAGCUGAAGACUUUACCAGACAAGCUGAGAGGAGGUGCAUGGCCGUCGCCAGCUCGUGCCGUGAGGUGUCCUGUUAAGUCAGGUAACGAGCGAGAUCCCUGCCUCUAGUUGCUACCAUUAUUCUCAGGAGUAGUGGAGCUAAUUAGAGGGACCGCCGUCGCUGAGACGGAGGAAGGUGGGGGCUACGGCAGGUCAGUAUGCCCCGAAACCCUCGGGCCACACGCGGGCUGCAAUGGUAAGGACAAUGAGUUUCGAUUCCGAAAGGAGGAGGCAAUCUCUAAACCUUACCACAGUUAUGAUUGAGGGCUGAAACUCGCCCUCAUGAAUAUGGAAUCCCUAGUAACCGCGUGUCACUAUCGCGCGGUGAAUACGUCCCUG